CCUUGACAGUCGCAUGGUGUGGCUGACAGUUGCCUAGACAAGGAGAUUUGAAAUG
rnacentral:ncRNA from 1 species